CGAGUUUGGCAAAACAUUGUGGUUUCAGUUAAAACACAUUGUUCCAUCAGUCGCUGUGAAUGCUUUGUUUUAAGGCCGAGCUUGUUUUUUUGUGCCUAAAUGUAAACAUAACCACAGUUUAACUAUCAGCAGGAUCUUAGUAGGACUUAGUAGGAUUGUUGUUAUUGUCGUUAUCAGAGCUUUGCCGUCGGCUCAAAGUCCUGAGACACAUUAAGGAGCCGCUGAGCAGCGGCAGCUUCAUCAGAGGGUCCGACACAGAACAUGUACACAACUGAGGCGUUACAGUACAAAGACUGGGAUACGGAACCGACAGGUCCCUGCAGUCACAUCUGGACUCACUGGAUGGAACCGUUACACCAGGUGUGAAUGAUGAAGCUCCGCCUCCUCUCUCACCGUCAGCAGCACAUGAGCUGCGAAUGGGCCUCUGUGUGUAGGAAGGCGUCCAUCAGGGGGUAACGGGGCUUUUCCAAAGCAGACCAUCCUGUUCAUCCUGACUUCAUGUGUCCAUCACGUUCAAAUUUCAUCCUGUGACCCACAGCAGUAAACUCACCGUCGUGGUGAAGGUGAGUUUGCUCUAUAUCUGUGUUUUACCUGUGAGCAUCAAUGAAGACAGAAAACAUCUGGAGAACACACCAGACACGGAGUCUGUGCUUGUUCCACUGCUCAGUGUUUGAAUCAUACAAAAUGGUGGCGCGCCAUCAACUGGGCCUAUAAAUAUUAAAUAACAUCAGUGAACAUCUAGAUACUAAUGGCUCUGAAGUAGCUCUGAGUGGUUCUCACAUUGAGCAUCUUGUUGAGAAUCUACUUUGUGAUUCAGUUACACAGUUUGCUGAUGCCGAUGCUUGUAUUUAUUACUUCUGUAUCUGGACAUGAGGUCAUGAUGCACAUGAUGCAAAGCGUGUUUCAAAUUUAAAUUCAAGUGUGUUUCUAAAGCUUUAUAGCAAACUGUUGCUUCCAAGUCUGUCUAAUGUCAAAAGGCAGCGGAGCAGAGUCUGCGGCUUCGGAGCGAUCCAGCAAUUAAAAGCUUCAAUGGCUGCUUCCUGUCAUCAGGCCGUGUUUGCUGACAACCACAGGAUUUCACAUUUAUUCGGGAGAAAUAUUGCCGACGUCAGCUCGAAUUCUCACGGGGCCUCAAAGCGCUGACGAGGCAAACUGUCUUCACCUUCCACUCAUUAAAGGUGGAGACACUUUGUUGAAAUAUUUAAACUAAUUGUGUUUUCAGGGUUAAACAGCUUUGUGGAUCCAACUGUAACCUGUCCAGUCAGCAAAACAAACUCAUAGACGACGGAUGUUAAUGUUAAAGAGCCACGCUUCACCUCCAGCGACGUCUCCUGAUGUCGCCUGCAUUGGAGCAGGAUAUCCUCGUUUAACGGCGUCCCUUCUUCCUGCCCGACAGAACGCUUGUAUCCUCACACCCACCAACAUAUAAUGAGCUGACUCAUGUCUGAGGACAGAUAGUGGGAACCUAAUGGCUUCACUUCCAUUGUCCGUCUGUCAUUCUUCCGUCUUCGAUGCGUCUUGAACUGUGUCGGCAUCGUUUCCCAGAGCUGCUCUGAAGGUUCCAGAGGAACCCACUGCUCACGUCUCCCGGGAGCACGUUAGUUUAGCUCACUGAAGUCCGAGCGCGUCUGGAGCAGCUGCAGUCAGUUUAGGGGAAACGACUUCUGGACCCAGGAAGUGGAGAUGAUGCUGCGCAUGCCUUUUGUCUGAAUGGUCAUUUGGGAAAAUAUCUCUAAGUUAUCUCGAAAUAUGUGAAAUUUCAAAAACACUAUAUGUCUCUAUAUGUAUGUGUCGCUAUAUGUGUUCACCCUGUUUGCAGUUUUUGCUAAAUUAAUCAAAUCAUCAUCAAAAUAUGCAAAUUAGACAUACAUUAAUAUUACAGAGACGCAAUUCAGUUUCACAGUUUUGUGUUUUCUAAAUAUAAACAUCCUGUCACGAACACACUACAACUGGAUGCGUUAUUAAUGGCUCGGCUGUCGUCAGGUGGACUGAAGGAGCCUCAAAGGAGCCGUUUCAUCAUCAUCCACACAAGUAAAGCAGAAAACAGGAAAGCGUGGUUCGUGGUUGAACUGCUCAUUAUCAGACAUCCACAGCUUCUAUAAAAGACACGUGACUGAGUCCACGCUGGAAUCAGAGAAAUAGGAAGAACCAGGAGACGAAGGAGGGGCAGAUUGUGAAGAUAUCUAAGUUUAGGAGCUGAUGAUGUGUGAUUAAUCCUGGUGUGUGUGCUGCUAGAGCCGGCGUUAGGCCUCAGCUCUGCUCCUGUGGGCUUCAGCGAGUGUGUGAUGCUCAAGCAUCACCGCAGACCGUCCUGCAGUCAGCGGCUCCUGUCCCGCGAUCGCUGAAACGCUCCGUGUGCUGAAUAAUUCAGCAGCGCCCAGUGUCUGCUGCCGCUGAGGCUGCAUGGUCGGGAACCAGUGAAGGGGAAGCUCGAUGCAUGUGGACAGGCCUUGUUUUCUACGCCCCCAGCCAAGCGUGCGUCUUAUGUAAGGGGGGGGGGGGGUCCCGUCGCUCUGUCAUGAUGCACGUCCUGAUCCUGAAUGAACAAAUGCUCACAUCCUUCAUUAAAACGUGGAGCGGCUCUGCAUCCAUUACCAGUUCGUCUGAAACGCGCGAGGCUUCAGCUCGUUCCUCCUGCAUUAUUCAACCAAGCCUGCAGCCAUUUGAUUCCUCACAGGUGUAAAUGGGUCUGUUUCCCAUGACGGUGCUGGACUCAUAUCUGUGCUCUUUACCUUGACGUUCCGUCACAUGCACACAGGGCGUCGCCCACUAACAGGCGGUCCUGAGGAUCCAAACUGUGGCAUGAAGAGCAGAGCUGGUCGUCAGCUUGAUGAACACUGUGCUUCAUAUAAGUUCCUAAAGUCCUGAAGGGCUGGUGUCAGACAUGUAAACAGGGCGACAGAGUCGAUGGAAGACGUGACUGAUGGUGCAGUGUUUUAUAUCCUGGACGGCGGCAGAUCGAUGCAGUGUUUGACUCGCUGGUUAAUAUUUAAUCAGGCUGCAUUGAUUGUGGCCUGGUGACGUUCCCAGGGUUCGGACAGACAGCUAUUGUCAGUCAUAAACGCAAACGUGGGGUCUGUUACACAACUCUGGAGGCUUCUCAUCCAUCACCGUCUUCGUCAGUCAGAGCCUCCAGCUCGCACCGAAACACAGAUUUUGGUGUAAGACUCAAAUCAAUGAAGGCUUAGACACAAAAUGGAUCAAAAUAUUUGCAUUUUAAAACAUAAAACAGCUAAAAGUAUUUUUUUAUUCGAAGAAAAGUUGCUGUUUUGUCAAAUCUCAGCUCCGUUCAUGUUUAGCUGUGGCCGUAAAGGAGUUCCAACAGCUAACGGUGCUGUAGUCCAAGCUCGUGCUGGCUGGACUCGAGGUCAAAGUUCAAAGACAAAGAAGUGGGUCAGCAGCACCAAACCCAGUCCGACCACAGCUGUUCGUUCUUGUUGUGGCGCCCGAUUCUCAAUAAAUGUUUUGUGCAUGAGCGGCGUGAGGACCUGAACGCCACGCGGUUCCGCUCUCAGCACUCAGAUUCAGAUGAAGUGGGAUGGAAAGCUGCUUUACGCGCUGCUAUCCAGGCCACUGCCCUCAGCCUGAGCUCCAACGCCAGUUACUCUACUUUACGCAACAAACAGGAAACACAGUCGUUUUCCCCCGAACUGACACGUUUCUCACCCGAUGCCUCCAAACAGCUCAAAGUCCAUGGAUUUGCAUCGUCAGCAACCACGUUACUGUUAAACGUGUGAAGUGGAAUUUAUUUGUUCAUUUACAUUUUCAGAAAAGCUAAUUAAAUGAUGCUACUUCAAGGAAACGUGCUCACAAACAUGACACUUGUGACUCUGUGUGACCUUUGACCCUGUUAAAGACACGGCCUGUUUAUGGCUCGUGUCAUGUGAAAUGAGGACACAAUAGGUUUGACUGGAGUCACUUCAGGAGACAUCACACUGACGAUUCAGGCUCAGUUUAGGCAGGAACAUGCAAAGAACUACACAUGUUUAGAGCUUAUAAUGUCACUACUUUUGUCAAAAUCAUGAUGGAACAUUUCAUAGCAACCUGUGUUAACUGGAAACAGUUGCAACCUGACU